rnacentral:rRNA from 1 species
UGGGGAAUUUUGGACAAUGGGGGAAACCCUGAUCCAGCCAUCCCGCGUGUGCGAUGAAGGCCUUCGGGUUGUAAAGCACUUUUGGCAGGAAAGAAACGUCGCGGGUUAAUACCCCGCGAAACUGACGGUACCUGCAGAAUAAGCACCGGCUAACUACGUGCCAGCAGCCGCGGUAAUACGUAGGGUGCAAGCGUUAAUCGGAAUUACUGGGCGUAAAGCGUGCGCAGGCGGUUCGGAAAGAAAGAUGUGAAAUCCCAGAGCUUAACUUUGGAACUGCAUUUUUAACUACCGGGCUAGAGUGUGUCAGAGGGAGGCGGAAUUCCGCGUGUAGCAGUGAAAUGCGUAGAUAUGCGGAGGAACACCGAUGGCGAAGGCAGCCUCCUGGGAUAACACUGACGCUCAUGCACGAAAGCGUGGGGAGCAAACAGGAUUAGAUACCCUGGUAGUCCACGCCCUAAACGAUGUCAACUAGCUGUUGGGGCCUUCGGGCCUUGGUAGCGCAGCUAACGCGUGAAGUUGACCGCCUGGGGAGUACGGUCGCAAGAUUAAAACUCAAAUGAAUUGAC